CGUCAAAUCAUCAUGCCCCUUAUGUCUUGGGCUACACACGUGCUACAAUGGCUCAAACAAAGUGAAGCGAACCCGCAAGGGGGAGCAAACCACAGAAAAGGAGCCUCAGUUCGGAUUGUAGUCUGCAACUCGACUACAUGAAGUUGGAAUCGCUAGUAAUCGCAAAUCAGCAUGUUGCGGUGAAUACGUUCUCGGGCCUU
rnacentral:rRNA from 1 species